UACGAAGGGGGCUAGCGUUGCUCGGAAUCACUGGGCGUAAAGGGUGCGUAGGCGGGGCUUUAAGUCAGGGGUGAAAUCCUGGAGCUCAACUCCAGAACUGCCUUUGAUACUGAAGAUCUUGAGUUCGGGAGAGGUGAGUGGAACUGCGGGUGUAGAGGUGAAAUUCGUAGAUAUUCGCAAGAACACCAGUGGCGAAGGCGGCUCACUGGCCCGAUACUGACGCUGAGGCACGAAAGCGUGGGGAGCAAACAGG
rnacentral:rRNA from 1 species